AUGGUGAAGGGAGUGACGCCGCGGGCACUGGAGCAGCGCGGCACGGCCCCGGAACUCGUCGCCGUGCAGGAGGCACCACGUGAUGAUGUUUUAAUGAAGGAUGCUGCAUUGAAACGCAAAAUCAUGGAAGUGCCAGGUUCCAAUCGUGGCGCCGCGGAGAAUAGCAAUGAUCAGAUUCGUGAUUCCAUGCUAGAGAUUCGGAAAAUACGGGAUUCUAUUCUUCGUAAGGAAUUCAUACUUCAAGACGGAAGUGCUCAAUGUGAUAUGGACAUACAGAAAAUUAAGACAGAAAAGAAGAUGACAACGGAAGUACUGUUGUCAAUAAUGGAGAAAUAUAAACAACCUAGCUCAAAUAUAAUGAAAGUUGCCAAUCUAGCUUUCUCUGGUGAUGAUGGCAUAACCAAGAGCACUAGGAGGAUGGAAUUGAACUUGAAGGAGGCACUCGCCCAACGCAAUAAAUGCAUGGUGCUUGAUGAGAUCUGUUAUGAUUGCGAUUGGAUGGCCCCUAGAUACACAGUAGUACCUUCACUAGCAGAUGGAAUGCACGUCAGUGAAGUACGUGUGAAAUGCCCUGAUUUUGCGAUGAGCAUCACUGGUGAUCCUUGUCCGACCCCACAUGAUGCGAGGUGCUCUGCAGCUGCCAAUAUGAUACUGGAGCUUGGCAAGAAGGCAGAGGAAAAAGAACAGCAUGAUAACUAA
rnacentral:rRNA from 1 species